ACGCUGGCGGCGUGCUUAACACAUGCAAGUCGAACGAUGAACCACUUCGGUGGGGAUUAGUGGCGAACGGGUGAGUAACACGUGGGCAAUCUGCCCUGCACUCUGGGACAAGCCCUGGAAACGGGGUCUAAUACCGGAUACAACCACUAGGGGCAUCUCUUGGUGGUGGAAAGCUCCGGCGGUGCAGGAUGAGCCCGCGGCCUAUCAGCUUGUUGGUGAGGUAAUGGCUCACCAAGGCGACGACGGGUAGCCGGCCUGAGAGGGCGACCGGCCACACUGGGACUGAGACACGGCCCAGACUCCUACGGGAGGCAGCGAGUGGGGAAUAGUUGCACAAGUGGGACGAAAGCCUGAUGCAGCGACGCCGCGUG
rnacentral:ncRNA from 1 species